UUGGUGGGGUAAUGGCCUACCAAGGCGACGACGGGUAGCCGGCCUGAGAGGGUGACCGGCCACACUGGGACUGAGACACGGCCCAGACUCCUACGGGAGGCAGCAGUGGGGAAUAUUGCACAAUGGGCGAAAGCCUGAUGCAGCGGCGCCGCGUGAGGGAUGACGGCCUUCGGGUUGUAAACCUCUUUCGCCAGGGACGAAGCGCAAGUGACGGUACCUGGAUAAGAAGCACCGGCUAACUACGUGCCAGCAGCCGCGGUAAUACGUAGGGUGCGAGCGUUGUCCGGAUUUAUUGGGCGUAAAGAGCUCGUAGGCGGUUUGUCGCGUCGGCCGUGAAAUCUCCACGCUUAACGUGGAGCGUGCGGUCGAUACGGGCAGACUUGAGUUCGGUAGGGGAGACUGGAAUUCCUGGUGUAGCGGUGAAAUGCGCAGAUAUCAGGAGGAACACCGGUGGCGAAGGCGGGUCUCUGGGCCGAUACUGACGCUGAGGAGCGAAAGCGUGGGGAGCGAACAGGAUUAGAUACCCUGGUAGCCCACGCUGUAAACGUUGGGCGCUAGGUGUGGGCGACAUCCACGUUGUCCGUGCCGUAGCUAACGCAUUAAGCGCCCCGCCUGGGGAGUACGG
rnacentral:rRNA from 1 species